rnacentral:rRNA from 1 species
AUUGAACGCUGGCGGCAGGCCUAACACAUGCAAGUCGAACGGUAGCACAGAGAGCUUGCUCUCGGGCGACGAGUGGCGGACGGGUGAGUAAUGUCUGGGAAACUGCCCGAUGGAGGGGGAUAACUACUGGAAACGGUAGCUAAUACCGCAUAACGUCGCAAGACCAAAGUGGGGGACCUUCGGGCCUCACACCAUCGGAUGGUCCCAGAUGGGAUUAGCUAGUAGGUGGGGUAAUGGCUCACCUAGGCGACGAUCCCUAGCUGGUCUGAGAGGAUGACCAGCCACACUGGAACUGAGACACGGUCCAGACUCCUACGGGAGGCAGCAGUGGGGAAUAUUGCACAAUGGGCGCAAGCCUGAUGCAGCCAUGCCGCGUGUAUGAAGAAGGCCUUCGGGUUGUAAAGUACUUUCAGCGGGGAGGAAGGCGGUGAAGUUAAUAACUUCACCGAUUGACGUUACCCGCAGAAGAAGCACCGGCUAACUCCGUGCCAGCCGCCGCAGUAA